GCGGGAGUAGCUCAGUUGGUAGAGCAUAACCCUUCCAAGGUUAGGGUCGCGAGUUCGAGCCUCGUCUCCCGCUCAA
rnacentral:tRNA from 1 species